rnacentral:rRNA from 1 species
AGUGAACGCUGGCGGUAGGCCUAACACAUGCAAGUCGAACGGCAGCACAGUAAGAGCUUGCUCUUACGGGUGGCGAGUGGCGGACGGGUGAGGAAUACAUCGGAAUCUACUUUUUCGUGGGGGAUAACGUAGGGAAACUUACGCUAAUACCGCAUACGACCUACGGGUGAGAGCAGGGGAUCUUCGGACCUUGCGCGAUUGAAUGAGCCGAUGUCGGAUUAGCUAGUUGGCGGGGUAAAGGCCCACCAAGGCGACGAUCCGUAGCUGGUCUGAGAGGAUGAUCAGCCACACUGGAACUGAGACACGGUCCAGACUCCUACGGGAGGCAGCAGUGGGGAAUAUUGGACAAUGGGCGCAAGCCUGAUCCAGCCAUACCGCGUGGGUGAAGAAGGCCUUCGGGUUGUAAAGCCCUUUUGUUGGGAAGAAAAGCAGCAGGUUAAUACCCCGCUGUUCUGACGGUACCCAAAGAAUAAGCACCGGCUAACUUCGUG